UCGGUAUAACUUGAUUUAUAAAUAUAUUUAUAUUUAUUCAUAGUAUUAAUAUUUAAUUUAUAAAAUAUUUAAUUGUUGUUGUAUUUAGUUAAGAUUUAAUUUUUUAUAUUAUAGUUUAUUUGUACCGUAAUGGAAUAUUGGAUUAUUUAUUAAUAUUUUAAUAAGUUGAUUUUUAUUAUUGUACCUUGUGUAUCAGGAUUUAUUAAAAAUAUUAUAUAUAUUUAUUUUUCUCGAUUUAAGGAGAGCUAUUUAUUUAUUUAAUUUAUUGUUAUAUAAAUAUUUAUAAUAUAUAGAUAGUAGUGAAAUAUUAAUCGUUCUUUAUUAUAUCUAGUUUUCUGAGAAAUGAAUUUAAUUCAUAUAUUUAAUAAUUAAUAAUUUAAUUUAUUAAAUGUUUUAUUAUUUAAUAUGAAUAAUUAGGGGGAUAAGUUUCUAAUUAAAAUAUUAUAAGUUAUUUCUUUAUUUGAGUUUAAUGGAUUUAAUAAUAAUUAUUAUUUAAAGUAUGUUAAUAUUUUACUUGUUUAUGAAUUUAUUAUAUUAACUUUGGUUUUAUUAUUAGAAAUUUUUAAUUAAUUAAUAAUUAGUUGAUAUUAUGAUAAAAUUAGUAUAUUUAUUUUUUAUAAUUUUUUUAUUAUAUAUUAAAUAAUAUAAAAGGAAUUAGGCAAUUAUUAUAUUCGCCUGUUUAACAAAAACAUCUUUUCUUGUAUUUAUUUGAAAUAUAACCUGCCCACUGAUUUGAUAUAUUUAAGGGCCGCGGUAAAUUGACCGUGCAAAGGUAGCAUAAUCAUUAGUCUUUUAAUUGUAGGCUGGAAUGAAUGGUUGGACGAGAUAUAUACUGUCUUUUAAUUAAAUUUGGAAUUUAAUUAUUAAGUAAAAAAGCUUAAAUUUUCUUAUGGGACGAGAAGACCCUAUAGAAUUUAAUAAUUUUUAAUUAUUACUUGGUUUAUAAAUAAUUUUUAAUUAAAAGUUAUUUUAUUGGGGUGAUAAAAAGAUAUAAUUAACUCUUUUUAUUGUAAAAUAUUUAUUUAUAGAUAAUUGAUCCAUUUAUAGUGAUUAUAAGAUUAAAUUACCUUAGGGAUAACAGCGUAAUUUUCUUUGAAAGUUCAUAUUGAUAAGAGAGAUUGCGACCUCGAUGUUGGAUUAAGAUAAAUAUUGGGUGUAGAAGUUUAAUUAAUUGGGUCUGUUCGACCUUUAAAAUCUUACAUGAUCUGAGUUCAAACCGGCGUGAGCCAGGUUGGUUUCUAUCUAUAAUCAUUUACAAUAUUUUAGUACGAAAGGACCAAUUAUUGGAAAUAAUUUUUUAUUAUGAUUAAUAUAAAUAUUAUACUAUUUUGGCAGAGAAGUGUGGUGGAUUUAGAAUCUAAGCAU
rnacentral:rRNA from 1 species